rnacentral:rRNA from 1 species
UUGCUGGCGACCGGCGCACGGGUGAGUAACACGUAUCCAACCUGCCGAUAACUCGGGGAUAGCCUUUCGAAAGAAAGAUUAAUACCCGAUGGUAUAAUCAGACCGCAUGGUCUUGUUAUUAAAGAAUUUCGGUUAUCGAUGGGGAUGCGUUCCAUUAGGCAGUUGGUGAGGUAACGGCUCACCAAACCUUCGAUGGAUAGGGGUUCUGAGAGGAAGGUCCCCCACAUUGGAACUGAGACACGGUCCAA